rnacentral:rRNA from 1 species
CGAGUUGUAAUCUAUAGAAGUGUUUUCCGUGCUGGCUCAUGUACAAGUCCCUUGGAACAGGGCGUCAUAGAGGGUGAGAAUCCCGUCCUUGACAUGAACUACCAGUGCUCUGUGAUACAUUUUCAACGAGUCGAGUUGUUUGGGAAUGCAGCUCAAAAUGGGUGGUAAAUUCCAUCUAAAGCUAAAUAUUGGCGAGAGACCGAUAGCGAACAAGUACCGUGAGGGAAAGAUGAAAAGCACUUUGGAAAGAGAGUUAAACAGUAUGUGAAAUUGUUAAAAGGGAAACGAUUGAAGUCAGUCGUGCUCUUUGGAUUCAGCCGGUUCUGCCGGUGUACUUCCUUUGAGUGGGGUCAACAUCAGUUUUGAUCGCUGGAUAAAGGCUGGAGGAACGUAGCACCCCCGGGUGAACUUAUAGCCUCCUGUCACAUACA